UCCAACCCCACAGGUCAGCCCAAGUCUGCACCUUCAGUCACUCUGUUCCCACCCUCCUCUGAGGAGCUCGGCAACAACAAGGCCACACUGGUAUGUCUGGUCAGUGACUUCUACCCUGGAGCCGUGACAGUGGCCUGGAAGGAGAAUGGCAGCCCUGUGUCCCAGGGUGUGGAGACCACCAAGCCCUCCAAACAGAGCAACAACAAGUAUGCGGCCAGCAGCUACCUGAGCAUGUCAGCCAGCAAGUGGAAGUCUGCCAGCCAGUUCAGCUGCCACGUGACGCAUGAUGGCACCACUGUGGACAAGACAGUGGUCCCCUCGGAGUGUUCCUAGGACUCUGAGCCCUCACAUUCUGGGUCUCUGCUUACUCAGAUCUCCCAUUUGCCACCUCUCCACUGUACCCCUGGGACUGCCACCCCUGUCUGCUCAGACUGGGCUGGUUUCAAAGCCUCCCCAUUUCCACUUUUUCUCAAUAAAACCCUGGUCAUUUA